rnacentral:rRNA from 1 species
CAGUAGCCGCGGGAAUACGGAGGGUGCAAGCGUUAAUCGGAAUUACUGGGCGUAAAGCGCACGCAGGCGGUUUGUUAAGUCAGAUGUGAAAGCCCUGGGCUCAACCUGGGAAUUGCAGUGGAUACUGGGUCACUAGAGUGUGGUAGAGGAUAGUGGAAUUUCCGGUGUAGCAGUGAAAUGCGUAGAGAUCGGAAGGAACAUCUGUGGCGAAGGCGACUAUCUGGGCCAACACUGACACUGAGGCACGAAAGCGUGGGGAGCAAACAGGAUUAGAUACCCCCGUAGUCCCUGUCUCUUAUAC